AAAGGACAAGGAGGUAUGAGUUUUCGAGAUCUUAGGUUAUUUAAUUAGGCGCUUCUAGCUAAGCCGGCGUGGCGAUUAUUGAAAAAUCCAGAUUUGCUUUGCGCAAACUCGAUGAGGGCAAAAUAUUAUCCGCCUGGUCAUCUUCUUGACACAGACUUUACGCAAUCAACGUUGGCGACUUGGAAAGCUAUUAUGCAUGUUAUUGAACUUUUUUAA
rnacentral:rRNA from 1 species